rnacentral:rRNA from 1 species
AAAUUAAUUAGAUUGUAUUUGUAAAAACUAAAUUGUGUAGAAUAUAUAAUAUAAAUAAAUUUUAAUUAUUGUAAUAAAUAACUUGAUUAAAUUAAUUUUACUAUAGUGUAUUAGUACUGUGAAGGUAUGUUUAUGUAAUUUAUAAAAGGAGAUUUGAAUAAUUGUUUCUUGUGUAUCAGAAUAUAUUAAAAUUGAAGAUAUAUAAUUGUUUCUCGAAUUUUAAAGAUUUAAUUAAAUAAAUUUUUUGUUGUAGUAUAAACAUUUAAAAUUUUUAAUUGGUAAUGAAAUGUUAACGUUUUAGAGGAUAUCUAGUUUUUUAAUAAAUGAAUUUAAUUCAUAGGAAAUAAAAUUAUACAUAUCUGUUUAGAAAUUAUAUAUUUUUUUCUUAAUUUCUUAAGGGAAAAGCUUUAAUGAAAUAGAAUUAUAAUAAAGAUAAUAAUUAUGAAAAUUUUGUAAAUUUAGAAUUUGUUAAUAUUAAAAGUAUGUAAAAAUUUAAUUUUUGUUUAAUUUAAUUUUAAAUUAAUUUAAUUUUUUUAUUAAAAUAUAUGAUUUAAUUAUUUUAUUUUAGGGAUUAUGGUUUAAUUAGUAAUUAAAAUUGUAUUGUAUAAUAUAAUAAAUUAUAUAAUUUAUUAUAAAGAAUUAGGCAAAUUUGUUUACUCGCCUGUUUAUUAAAAACAUGGUUUCUUGGAAUAUGUAAAUAAGAGAUUUAACCUGCCCACUGAAAUUAAUUUAAAGGGCCGCAGUAAAUUGACUGUGCAAAGGUAGCAUAAUCAUUAGUCUUUUAAUUGAAGGCUUGUAUGAAAGGUUGGACGAGGUAAAUUCUGUUUUAUUAUAAAUUAGUGAAUUUAGAAAUUAAGUAAAAAUACUUAAAUAUUGUUAAGGGACGAGAAGACCCUAUAGAGUUUAAUAAUUAAAUUUUUAAUUAUGUUUUUUAAUAAUUUUUAAUUAUUUAAAAAAUUAUUUAAUUGGGGUGAUUAGAAGAUAGAUUUAACUCUUCUUUAUAAUAAAUUAUUUUUAUUAGAUAAAGGAUCCAUAAUUAGUGAUUAUAAGAUUAAAUUACCUUAGGGAUAACAGCAUAAUUUUUUUUGAGAGUUCAUAUCAAGAAGAAAGAUUAUGACCUCGAUGUUGGAUUAAGAAAAUUUAUAGGUGAAGAAGUUUAAAAAAUAGGUCUGUUCGACCCUUAAAUUCUUACAUGAUCUGAGUUUAAACCGGCGUGAGCCAGGUUGGUUUCUAUCUUUAAUAGAAUGUAAUAUUUUAGUACGAGAGGACCAAAUAUUGAAAAUAAAUUUUGUUUUAAGAUUAAAAUUAAUAUAAA